UACGUAGGGGGCAAGCGUUGUCCGGAAUUAUUGGGCGUAAAGGGCGCGUAGGCGGCUUGACAAGUCAAAGGUGAAAUCCCUCGGCUCAACUGAGGAACUGCCUUUGAAACUGUCUGGCUUGAGGCCGGGAGGGGGUAGCGGAAUUCCCAGUGUAGCGGUGAAAUGCGUAGAUAUUGGGAGGAACACCAGUGGCGAAGGCGGCUACCUGGACCGGUUCUGACGCUGAUGCGCGAAAGCGUGGGUAGCAAACAGG
rnacentral:rRNA from 1 species